AAAGGGUGCGGUAAGAGCGCACCGCGCGGCUGGUAACAGUCCGUGGCACGGUAAACUCCACCCGGAGCAAGGCCAAAUAGGGGUUCAUAAGGUACGGCCCGUACUGAACCCGGGUAGGCUGCUUGAGCCAGUGAGCGAUUGCUGGCCUAGAUGAAUGACUGUCCACGACAGAACCCGGCUUAUCGGUCAGUUUCACUU
rnacentral:RNase_P_RNA from 1 species